rnacentral:rRNA from 1 species
UACAGAGGUCUCAAGCGUUGUUCGGAUUCAUUGGGCGUAAAGGGCGCGUAGGCGGUGGGGUAAGUCUGGUGUGAAAUCUCGGAGCUUAACUCCGAAACUGCAUUCGAUACUGCCGUGCUUGAGGACUGGAGAGGAGACUGGAAUUUACGGUGUAGCGGUGAAAUGCGUAGAUAUCGUAAGGAAGACCAGUGGCGAAGGCGGGUCUCUGGACAGUUCCUGACGCUGAGGCACGAAGGUCAGGGGAGCAAACGGG